rnacentral:rRNA from 1 species
AGUGGUGCAUGGCCGUCGUCAGUUCGUACCGUAAGGCGCUCUGUUAAGUCAGAUAACGAACGAGACCCCCGUCCUUAAUUGCCAACCCAUUCUCCGGGAGUGGGCGCACAUUAAGGGGACCGCUGGCGCUAAGUCAGAGGAAGGAGAGGUCAACGGUAGGUCAGUAUGCCCCGAAUCUCCCGGGCUACACGCGCGCUACAAAGGACAGGACAAUGGGAUGCAAUACCGAGAGGUAACGCCAACCCGAAACCUGUUCGUAGUUCGGACUGAGGGCUGUAACUCGCCCUCACGAAGCUGGAUUCCGUAGUAAUCGCGGGUCAACAUCCCGCGGUGAAUAUGCCCCUGCUCUUU